rnacentral:tRNA from 1 species
AUCUAUUUAGUAUAAAUAUUAUAUUUGACUUCCAAUCAAAAGAUCUUUAAUAAAGAAUAGAUA